CUCAAGUCCUUUCACAUGUGUAACUAGGUCUGGACAAGCAGGAAUUUCUGGCCCUUUUCCCAAUUCCCGUGGGAGGAGAUGGGAAAGGUGCUUCUUUUAUCCUUGCCUUUCCAAGACAACAAGAAAGGCUUCUCCCCAUGGUGCCGGCCCCGGUACUAAGCUGGGGAAAGGGAUCCUUAGGGUGUAAACUGUCUUGCCACCUACUGUUUAAACCUCUGUGAAAGAUAAGCCUUCUGAAAUAGCCUCCUAUUCAACCCAGAAAUCAAUCCUAACUUGUAAAAGAAGUUAUGGACACGAGGACGAGAAACGGGAAAUCCUGCGGGAGAUAGCGCUUUCUCUUUUCCCCCAGAAAGUCUCCAGGCAGCAGCUCUGUGAGAUCCUUAAGCAAGGUAAGGAAACUCACCCGCUGCGCUGCGGCUUCGUGGCCAGCAGGGCUGGGACAUACUCGCCUCACGCUUCAGCACCGGGGACAGCUCCUGCCUCGCCAACUUCGGCAGCUCUUCUCGAUGUCUCGCCGCGGGCUGUGCCUCACAGGCUACGGGAGGGGAGAGUGUCUCCCCACGCCGGGGUCCCGGCCUCUGGGUUUUAGGGAGCGCGAAUGGGUCUCCGACAGCAACGGGAGCAGCCGGUGGCGCCUCAGGCUGCGGUGGCAACGAGCCCGACUGCACUACGGCUUUGCGGGACCGCGCCAGCGCGGAGGAGACCGAGCCCAUCUCAGCGGGCCGGGCCGGACCCAGGCCUCUGGCCUCGUCCACCAAGAACCUGCCAGAGUUCCUUCCAGAGGCCCACCAACAGGUGCUCAGCAGAAUCUGCACUGAGGAGCAUUGGAAAGAUCUGACCUACCUGCCAACAUCCUACCAGAACCUGAAAGUCACCAAUUGGGAUUUAUGUCUUCGGAUCCUGAAGUUUUAACCACUGACAAUGUUGAAUUUUACCUAAGCCCUGUGCUUCUGGAAAACAGGGAAGGUCAAGACAUCCCCUACUGUUUUAAUCAAUUCAGGCUGCUAUAGCAAAAAUACCAGAGACUGGGUGGCUUAAACAACAAACAUUUAUUUCUCACAGUUCUGGAGGCUGGAGGUCUGAGAUCAGGGUGCCAGCAUGGCUGGGUUCUGGUGAGGGACCUCUUCCUGAUUACAUCUUCACACGGCCUUUCCCUGGCGUGUGCACAUAGGAAAAGAGACCCCCAUGUCUUCUUCUCUUUUUAAAAGAGCACUAAUCCCGUCAUGGGGGCUCUAACCCGGUCCUACCUCCAAAUACCAUUACUUUGGGGAUUAAUAUUUCAACAUAUGAAUGAGGGAGAGGGCACAAACAUCCUUUUGUGUUGUGGAAAAUGGUUUAGCACAAAAAACCACCCUUCCCCAUAUGACUGAGAAAAGACUCACAGAUGCAUCCUUGCUUAUCUAUGGCAAGGCUAGACACCUUCCAAAUUCCCAUUUUUUGCUUCAUAAAUGAUUAGCUGAACUGUUUCAUCCUCACUGAUCAAUAGGACAAAAUAAGAAGUUAACCAAACUUGGCUGGACGUGGUGGCUCCCACCUGUAAUCCCAGCACUUUGGGAGGAUGAGGCGGAUGGAUUACUUGAGGUCAGGAGUUCGAGACCAGCCUGGCCAACUUUAGUAGAAAGUGAAACCCCUUUCUACUAAAAAUACAAAAAUUAGCCGGGCGUGGUGGUGCACACCCGUAGUCCCAGCUACUCGGGAGGCUAAGGCAGGAGAAUUGCUUGAACCCAGGGGGUGGAGGCUGCGGUGAGCCGAGAUCACACCACCGCACUCCAGCCUGGGUGACAGAGCAAGACUAUCUCAAAAAAAAAAGUAAAAGAAAUUAACUUGGUUAAACUUCUCUCCUUCCCACAAGCCUCUGAACUUUGACCCACUCUCAGCCUCAACCAGCAGACAGCCCCUCCAGAGAACAGGCUGACCUCAGGGUAAAAUGUUCUCUGAUGUACUAUCUGGUCAUGUCACUCUUUCAUCCCACUUCCCCACACCACAAUUCUUUCUAGCCUUGUUUAUUCCUCUUUAUAAAAGAAAACUCUUAUUCGCCUAACUCCUGAGACAAUCGCAAAUCUUAUGGUCAGUAAUUCUCCCUGUUGCAACAGUCCCUCCCCAUUCUCAUUUCUCACCCCCACAGACACACCCCACCAACAGUAAUCCUUUUGAAUAAAGGCUGUCCUUGCUAAGUCUGGAUUUAUUUUGACACCAUCUUUAAGAGUUUCCUCUAAGAAUAUAAGUGACCCUAUGAGAGGGCACUGUAAGUCUCAGUUAACGUUUUGUUGAAGAUUAAUUUAUCCCUGUUUGACUAAAGGGGAGGAAGGCAGACAAGAAUACUAUGAGAACCUACCAGACACUAGACAUAGCCCUGGAUAUUACACAUACUUGAUUUCAUGUAAUUCUUGAGGUUCAAAGAUACAAAAUGAUUUCCCAAAGACCCUACAGAGGCCAGACUGAAACCUAGGUCAUUAACUUGGAAUCAUAGGUUCAACACAGACAAUAGCUCCCCACAAAAUUUUAAAGAUCCCAGAGUCCAGCUCCUGCCUGGUCAGGUUGGGGAAACUAGGGUCAACCAACAUGCUAAUGACAGAAGAGCUCAGAAAAGAGCCCAAAUCUUCCACCCCAGGCUCCAUCUCAUUCCAGCACAACCACAGCUACCACUUUUCACCAGCUUCACAGCUCUGUCUUGUUGUCAGCCUUAUUAGAACUGCUCUCUGCUGAGUUAGUCUAGACAAUUUCCAAGAAAGUUCAGAGGGCUCCCAAGAAGAUCCCCAACCAAGGUAAUCAAAGGAUUUCAAGUGAAGUCAGAACACACAGGAGCAAAGAAGCAACUCAGCUGGAUCCAUUUAACAUUGAUUGAGCACCUACAGCUUGUUAUGGCUAUAGUCUCCACAUGGCUUCUGACCAGUCAGGACUAUGGGACUAUACCAUAAUGCUGGGAGCUUGAGCUGUAACACAGGCA
rnacentral:lncRNA from 1 species